rnacentral:rRNA from 1 species
AAUGAACGCUAGCGGGAGGCCUAACACAUGCAAGCCGAGCGGUAUUGUUUCUUCGGAAAUGAGAGAGCGGCGUACGGGUGCGGAACACGUGUGCAACCUGCCUUUAUCUGGGGGAUAGCCUUUCGAAAGGAAGAUUAAUACUCCAUAACAUAUUGAACGGCAUCGUUUAAUAUUGAAAGCUCCGGCGGAUAGAGAUGGGCACGCGCAAGAUUAGCUAGUUGGUGAGGUAACGGCUCACCAAGGCGAUGAUCUUUAGGGGGCCUGAGAGGGUGAUCCCCCACACUGGUACUGAGACACGGACCAGACUCCUACGGGAGGCAGCAGUGAGGAAUAUUGGUCAAUGGGUGCAAGCCUGAACCAGCCAUCCCGCGUGAAGGACGACUGCCCUAUGGGUUGUAAACUUCUUUUGUAUAGGGAUAAACCUACCCUCGUGAGGGUAGCUGAAGGUACUAUACGAAUAAGCACCGGCUAACUCCGUGCCAGCAGCCGCCGUAAAAC